rnacentral:rRNA from 1 species
GUGAGCGGCGGACGGGUGAGUAACGCGUGGGAAUCUACCCAUCUCUACGGAAUAACACAGAGAAAUUUGUGCUAAUACCGUAUACGUCCUGAGGGAGAAAGAUUUAUCGGAGAUGGAAGAGCCCGCGUUGGAUUAGCUAGUUGGUGAGGUAAAGGCUCACCAAGGCGACGAUCCAUAGCUGGUCUGAGAGGAUGAUCAGCCACACUGGGACUGAGACACGGCCCAGACUCCUACGGGAGGCAGCAGUGGGGAAUAUUGGACAAUGGGGGCAACCCUGAUCCAGCCAUGCCGCGUGAGUGAUGAAGGCCUUAGGGUUGUAAAGCUCUUUCACCGGUGAAGAUAAUGACGGUAACCGGAGAAGAAGUCCCGGCUAACUUCGUGCCAGCAGCCGCGGUAAUACGAAGGGGGCUAGCGUUGUUCGGAUUUACUGGGCGUAAAGCGCAUGUAGGCGGAUAUUUAAGUCAGAGGUGAAAUCCCAGGGCUCAACCCUGGAACGGCCUUUGAUACUGGGUAUCUUGAGUGU